GAUGAACGCUGGCGGCGUGCUUAACACGUGCAAGUCGAACGGACUUUACAUGAAGCCUAGCGAUUGUAAAGUUAGUGGCGGACGGGUGAGUAACGCGUGAAUAACCUGCCUUAUACUGGGGGACAACAGUUGGAAACGACUGCUAAUACCGCAUAAGCGCACAGUUCUGCAUGGGACAGUGUGAAAAACUCCGGUGGUAUAAGAUGGAUUCGCGUCUGAUUAGUUAGUUGGUGAGGUAACGGCUCACCAAGGCGACGAUCAGUAGCCGGCCUGAGAGGGUGAACGGCCACAUUGGGACUGAGAUACGGCCCAGACUCCUACGGGAGGCAGCAGUGGGGAAUAUGGGCAAUGGGCGCAAGCCUGACCCAGCAAUGCCGCGUGAAGGAAGAAGGCCUUU
rnacentral:rRNA from 1 species